CCCUUAGAUGUCCUGGGCCGCACGCGCGCUACACUGAACGGAUCAGCGCGUUUUCCCUUCCCGAGAGGGACGGGUAACCUGCUGAACCCCGUUCGUGGUAGGGAUCGGGGCUUGCAAUUAUUCCCGUGAACCAGGAAUGCCCAGUAAGUGCAAGUCAUAAGCUUGCGUUGAUUACGUCCCUGCCCUUUGUACACACCGCCCGUCGCUACUACCGAUUGAACGUUUUAGUGAGGUACUCGGACUGAGCCUCAGAAGAUUCACGUCUUUUGUGCUGCUCGGGAAGAUUCCCAAACUUGAGCGUUUAGAGGAAGUAAAAGUCGUAACA
rnacentral:rRNA from 1 species